rnacentral:rRNA from 1 species
GAUGAACGCUGGCGGCGUGCCUAAUACAUGCAAGUCGGGCGAACAGAUGAGGAGCUUGCUCCUCUGACGUUAGCGGCGGACGGGUGAGUAACACGUGGAUAACCUACCUAUAAGACUGGGAUAACUUCGGGAAACCGGAGCUAAUACCGGAUAAUAUAUUGAACCGCAUGGUUCAAUAGUGAAAGACGGUUUUGCUGUCACUUAUAGAUGGAUCCGCGCCGCAUUAGCUAGUUGGUAAGGUAACGGCUUACCAAGGCAACGAUGCGUAGCCGACCUGAGAGGGUGAUCGGCCACACUGGAACUGAGACACGGUCCAGACUCCUACGGGAGGCAGCAGUAGGGAAUCUUCCGCAAUGGGCGAAAGCCUGACGGAGCAACGCCGCGUGAGUGAUGAAGGUCUUCGGAUCGUAAAACUCUGUUAUUAGGGAAGAACAAAUGUGUAAGUAACUAUGCACGUCUCGACGGUACCUAAUCAGAAAGCCACGGCUAACUACGUG